ensembl:lncRNA
CUCUCAAUUUUGUUGUUUCUGUUAUCCAGUUGCUUCAACAGUGUAAGCCCUCUUUAAAGUAUUCACAUUCCAUUAGUCACUAUGUGAGUUAUGAUUAACAUCAGUGAUUUAACUGGUCUCAAUAGCUUUUCAGUUGCAGGUGUUCAGUGAGGAGUCUUGUAUGUUCCCCACAUUUGGCCAUCGCCUGUCCUGGAAAACAUGGGAAUCUCUGACUGCUGCUUGGGAAGUCGCAAGGGCACCCAUCAUGAAGGGGAAUGUAUAAUAUACACAAUCUGACUGCAGAGGACUUGGAGCUGUGCAGAGAAGGGACAGUGCCCUGUGAGGAGACAGAGGGGCAUGGCUGGGGGCAGAGGAGAGGCCCGGACCCUUCACCACCAUCUGCAGAAAGAGCAGCCACCCUCCCACUGCUGUCACACACAACAACACUUGUGCAAGUGAGGAGACCCCACACAUGGAGAAGCUCUCUGGGUAUUGCAGGCCUUCCUCUAAGUGGUUUCUUGGACAGACAGCAAGAUGGGAAGAUCCUAAGCCAAGAUGAGGUACUACAAUUUAAAAAGCUGAAAGAAUAGAGAGACUUAAUGGAAGAAACAAUUUGUUUCUACAGUACUAAUACAGUACAAAUCAAAUUUUUUAACAAAUUAUGUUAUGAUAUUAGUUACAUUUGUUUUGUUUGAGUCUUUUCUGUUAACAGAAUUCAAUUUCUGAUUAUUAGACUUGGUAAUUUUUUCCUGCUGCCAUCUCCAUACUUACUCUGUUCGUUCCUUCUGUUGAAAUUUAAUGGACUAUCAAUUAGUUUUCAUUCUAGUUUUUCACUUUCUGCAAGAGAUUUCUGGGUUUGCUUUACAGAGAAAUGAAAGAUUUCUAUUACAUGUUUGAAAUGAUUCUUUGGUAUAUAAAAUCAAUAACAAGAAAUGAGGUAAAUAGCUAAUAACAUCUGCAGUUAUAGAUACCUGUAAAAUUUAGAAAUUACUAUUAUAAUUAAUCUUUUAAAAUGAAAAAAUAAUAAAUACUACACUGUAACUGUUUAGCAAACAGAUAAAUCUACUUGAAUUAAUGCAGGAGCACCUGUCGUAUGAGGACAGGCUGAAAGAACAGGCCUGUUUCUCAUGGAAAAAAGACUGAGGGGAGGCAUCAUCAAUGUGUAUAAAUAUCUGAGGGUCAAGAGUAUCUGAGGUGUCAAGACUAUGGAGCUAGUCUCUUUUCAGUUGUGCCCAGUAACAGGACAAGAGGCAAUGGGCACAAACUGAAGCAUAAGAGGUUCCGGCUGAAUAUGAGAAGGCACUUCUUUACUGUGAGAGUGACAGAGCACUGGGACAGGUUACCCAGAGAGGUUGUGGAGUCUCCUUCUCUGGAGAUAUUCAAAACCCACCUGGAUGCCAUCCUGUGCAAUGUACUCUAGGUGAUCCUGCUUGACAUGGGCAUUGGACUAGGUGACCUUCAGAGGUCCCUUCCAACCUCAGCCAUUCUGUGAUUCUGUGAUUCAUGGAGAUGCUAGUCAUUUUAGUCAUUCCAGCUCUUGCAGGAUUUGCUUAGAAGAAGACAUAUUUAUUUGUGACUUCUGCCACCAGAUAACAAAGAUGGCCACAGCAGGCCUAACUGCUGCAGUAGAAGCUGAAGGCAAGGCCAGGCACAGCACGUGCAACUGCAGGCACCGAGUGGAAGCUGCCUGCGGGCUUCUCUCCCUCAGUCACCCCAGGAGUGCAGGCAGUGCAGCACCCACAGAGCUGGGCCUGCUUACAGCAACUGUGCUGUGGGUCACAGAUUCCUCCCUGUACUGUGGUCUCAGGAUCACUACAGAAGAGGAAAUAGUUUUUUAUAACAAAUGAGAUGACUGAGCUAGAUUAUUGACUAGAAAAAGAAGGGAAUUUGUACCAAAAUUGCCACUUGGAUAAUUUUAAAUGGUUUUCUUGAUUUAGCCAGUUUACUGUAUAAUCAACAGAGAUUCAAACUGAUAGAGUAAUUGCACCUAAUGUUAACUCAGUAAUGAUCCAGGUGCAAAUUGCAAUUGGUUAAAAUCAAGGCAUCUUUUUUUUUUUUUAAAAAAAAAUAUUUUAAUAUAAUAUUUUAUAUAUAAUAUAUAAUAUUUUUAAAUAUUUUUAUUUAUUUUUAUUUUUUUUAAAAAAAGGUCAAGUACAUUAAAGAACUUUAGCUGGCCCUGUUUCCUCUUUCAGACAGAAAUUUAGAAGUGCUGCUUUAUUGUCUCUUUUUCAUUAUUAUAUGUAUUGAAAGAGUUUGCUUUCCAAAGAAUUUAUUUAUACACACGUAAGAAUAAAAAUGAUACUAGUGAACAAAAUGUCAGUAGAAAUAUUUUCCCCCUGCACACAAACAUUCAAAGACAUUUCUUGAAUUCAGAUCCACUUGAGAACCAAUAAAAUAUAUCUGGAAGGCAGCAAAUGCAAUUACUUCUUAACACCCCUUCCUCUGGCUCCAAAUGUCAAAGAUACAUAGAGACAAAUGUUUAAAUUAACUGAGAAAUAUUUUCACUUGUUCUGAAAUAUUAACUUUUAGACCUUUGCUCAUUCUCUUAUUAUAUUAUUACUUUAUUUGUUUGGAAGAUCUGGAAAAGACAUUUUUAUGAUUAAAACUUUUAGAUCUUAAGUAAUAUAUUCUAGGCUGGGGCUGUCACAAUGCAUUAGCCUGACUAUGACAAUGUUAUUCAACUAGUGAUCUGAAGCAUGAUAUUAUUCAACUGCUUUCCUAUUAGUGAAUUUAAUUGUGCUCAAAGUCAUAAAGUAGUUGGGUAAUUCAGACACAUUUGUAACGCAGAGUAACUUAUGUUUUAUUCUAUUUUUAUGAGUUCACUUUGGCCAUACUUGUCCUUUAUAGUUAAUCAAAAUAUGGGAUUGUUUUUUUUUUCCAGGAACUUUUGAUUAAAACCAGAAUAUAUAUAUGUAUAUAUAUAUAUAUAUAUACAUACUUAUAUAUAUAUAUAAUAUUAUAAAUAUAUAUAUUUUAAUAUAUAUUAAAUACAAAAUUAAAAGUUUGUAUUUUCUUGAAGAGGAAAAGAAUAGGAAUUAUGUAUAAGUCAAUAAUCC